rnacentral:rRNA from 1 species
AGCAGCCGCGGUAAUUCCAGCUCCAAUAGCGUAUAUUAAAGUUGUUGCAGUUAAAAAGCUCGUAGUUGAAUUUCGGGAUCAAUUAAUUGGUCGUGCCCCUGGUACGUACUGAUUUUAUUGGUUUCUCCCUCCUGACGAACCAUGAUGUCAUUAAUUUGGUGUCGUGAAGAAUCAGGACUGUUACUUUAGAAAAAAUUAGAGUGUUUAAAGCAAGCUAACGCUUGAAUACAUUAGCAUGGAAUAAUAG